UGACCAAAAUAGACCGUGCACACGUUAUCCAUCCCGCCGAUGGCGGCAUUGCUCGCCAUCCGGCCAAGUCCCCGACCACCUCCCCUCCUCGGAAGGGGGGCCGGGGCAACAGAACCCACGGCGCCGACGGCGUCAAGGAACACUAUGCCUAACCCGAGGGUGUGGCUGGCUUGCUAGCCGCCCCUCGUGUUGCACUAUCUAAUCCAUACGACUCUCGGCAACGGAUAUCUCGGCUCUCGCAUCGAUGAAGAACGUAGCGAAAUGCGAUACCUGGUGUGAAUUGCAGAAUCCCGCGAACCAUCGAGUCUUUGAACGCAAGUUGCGCCCGAGGCCACCCGGCUGAGGGCACGCCUGCCUGGGCGUCACGCCAAUACACGCUCCCACAACCCUCAUUGGGUUGAGGGAUGCGGAUUCUGGCCCUCCGUGCCGUGAGGCACGGCGGGCCGAAGAUUGGGCUGCCGGCGUAUCGUGCCGGACACAGCGCGUGGUGGACUUCUACUCAGCGCAGUGCAUUCGGCAUGUAGCCGGCGCAGCGGCCCCAAGGACCCAACGAACGGAGCGCA
rnacentral:misc_RNA from 1 species